CCUACGGGAGGCAGCAGUGAGGAAUAUUGGUCAAUGGACGCAAGUCUGAACCAGCCAUGCCGCGUGCAGGAAGACGGCUCUAUGAGUUGUAAACUGCUUUUGUACGAGGGUAAACGCAGAUACGCGUAUCUGUCUGAAAGUAUCGUACGAAUAAGGAUCGGCUAACUCCGUGCCAGCAGCCGCGGUAAUACGGAGGAUUCAAGCGUUAUCCGGAUUUAUUGGGUUUAAAGGGUGCGUAGGCGGUCGGAUAAGUUAGAGGUGAAAUCCCGAGGCUCAACUUCGGAAUUGCCUCUGAUACUGUUCGGCUAGAGAGUAGUUGCGGUAGGCGGAAUGUAUGGUGUAGCGGUGAAAUGCUUAGAGAUCAUACAGAACACCGAUUGCGAAGGCAGCUUACCAAACUAUAUCUGACGUUGAGGCACGAAAGCGUGGGUAGCAAACAGGAUUAGAUACCCUAGUAGUC
rnacentral:rRNA from 1 species